UACGUAGGAGGCGAGCGUUGUCCGGAAUCACUGGGCGUAAAGCGCGCGUAGGCGGGCCGGCGCGUCGAUGGUGAAAGCCCCCGGCUCACCCGGGGGAGUGCCGUCGAGACGGCGGGCCUUGGAGGGCGGUAGGGGCAGGUGGAACGCCCGGAGUAGCGGUGAAAUGCGUUGAGAUCGGGCAGAACACCGGUGGCGAAGGCGGCCUGCUGGGCCGCACCUGACGCUGAGGCGCGAAAGCCGGGGGA
rnacentral:rRNA from 1 species